AUUGAACGCUGGCGGCAUGCCUAGCACAUGCAAGUCGAGCGGAUGAAGGGAGCUUGCUCCUGGAUUCAGCGGCGGACGGGUGAGUAAUGCCUAGGAAUCUGCCUGGUAGUGGGGGAUAACGUCCGGAAACGGGCGCUAAUACCGCAUACGUCCUGAGGGAGAAAGUGGGGGAUCUUCGGACCUCACGCUAUCAGAUGAGCCUAGGUCGGAUUAGCUAGUUGGUGGGGUAAAGGCCUACCAAGGCGACGAUCCGUAACUGGUCUGAGAGGAUGAUCAGUCACACUGGAACUGAGACACGGUCCAGACUCCUACGGGAGGCAGCAGUGGGGAAUAUUGGACGAUGGGGGAAAGCCUAAUGCAGACAGGCCGCGUGUGUGAAGAAGGUCUUCGGAUUGUAAAGCGCUUUAAGUUGGGAGGAAGGGCAGUAAGUUAAUACCUUGCUGUUUUGACGUUACCAACAGAAUAAGCACCGGCUAACUUCGUG
rnacentral:rRNA from 1 species